rnacentral:rRNA from 1 species
GACGUAGGGCGCGAGCGUUGUCCGGAUUUAUUGGGCGUAAAGAGCUCGUAGGCGGUCUGUCGCGUCUGCUGUGAAAACUCAGGGCUUAACCCUGAGCUUGCAGUGGGUACGGGCAGACUAAAGUGCGGUAGGGGAGACUGGAAUUCCUGGUGUAGCGGUGAAAUGCGCAGAUAUCAGGAGGAACACCGGUGGCGAAGGCGGGUCUCUGGGCCGAUACUGACGCUGAGGUGCGAAAGCGUGGGGAGCAAACAGG